rnacentral:rRNA from 1 species
AUAGUGAUAUGUUAAGCGGACAGAUACUAAUCGGUCGAGGGCUUAACCAA